UGGCGGCCUCGGGUCCAUCCCGAGGCCACGCCCGUCUGAGGGUCGGCGAGUCAGACAAGCUAUCGCCUCCUUUCUUGGCAACAGGUUUCCGCACUGAAGGCGUCUGCUUCUCUCGAACAUUUUUUGCUCUGAAAUGACGACGAGAUGGUCGCUAGAAUGUGUUUGGGGGCCGUGGAGGUGCUUUGGGUUUUCGCGGAUCUCUUCUGAUCCCCGUGACUUUAAGUGCAUGCUGCGCCGUCCGUCAUCUCGUGACGUCUCGGUGCCCGGAACAGCUCUGACUAUUUUGUUUUCCGGGCACUAGCGACAGGCGAGAGAAGUUUGAUUCUCUCCUAACCGACGCCGCCGGCCGUCGUGCUGGACUCGGAUUGAUCGGAUAUCAUCGAGCCGCCGGCGUGCUGGAAGCUGCGUGGGAGAAAUGAAGCUCAUGACGGCGCCCAGUUAAAAACCAAAGCAAGUGCGCUCGCAUAGCGCUGCUUGCUUUUGUUUCAUAUAUCCGACCUCAGAUCGGACGAGAUUACCCGCUGAAUUUAAGCAUAUUACUAAGCGGAGGAAAAGAAACUAACAAGGAUUCCCUCAGUAACGGCGAGUGAAGCGGGAAUAGCCCAGCACCGAAUCCCUCAGUGUCAUGCUGACGGGAACUGUGGUGUGUGGGACGCCACCAGUCGCAUCAGAGGGCGCCGAAGUCCUCCUGAUCGGGGCUUCACCCAGAGCGGGUGUAAGGCCUUUGCGGGUGCCUCUCUGUGCGGCCGCGAGCGUCUCAGGAGUCGGGUUGUUUGGGAAUGCAGCCCAAAGCGGGUGGUAAACUCCAUCUAAGGCUAAAUACUGGCACGAGUCCGAUAGCGGA
rnacentral:rRNA from 1 species